GCAUGUGGUUUAAUUCGAUGCAACGCGAAGAACCUUACCUACUCUUGACAUCCAGAGAAUUUAGCAGAGAUGCUUUAGUGCCUUCGGGAACUCUGAGACAGGUGCUGCAUGGCUGUCGUCAGCUCGUGUUGUGAAAUGUUGGGUUAAGUCCCGCAACGAGCGCAACCCUUAUCCUUUGUUGCCAGCGGUUCGGCCGGGAACUCAAAGGAGACUGCCAGUGAUAAACUGGAGGAAGGUGGGGAUGACGUCAAGUCAUCAUGGCCCUUACGAGUAGGGCUACACACGUGCUACAAUGGCAUAUACAAAGAGAAGCGACCUCGCGAGAGCAAGCGGACCUCACAAAGUAUGUCGUAGUCCGGAUCGGAGUCUGCAACUCGACU
rnacentral:rRNA from 1 species